rnacentral:rRNA from 1 species
GACGAACGCUGGCGGCGUGCCUAUUACAUGCAAGUUGAGCGCUGAAGGUUGGUACUUGUACCAACUGGAUGAGCAGCGAACGGGUGAGUAACGCGUGGGGAAUCUGCCUUUGAGCGGGGGACAACAUUUGGAAACGAAUGCUAAUACCGCAUAAAAACUUUAAACACAAGUUUUAAGUUUGAAAGAUGCAAUUGCAUCACUCAAAGAUGAUCCCGCGUUGUAUUAGCUAGUUGGUGAGGUAAAGGCUCACCAAGGCGAUGAUACAUAGCCGACCUGAGAGGGUGAUCGGCCACAUUGGGACUGAGACACGGCCCAAACUCCUACGGGAGGCAGCAGUAGGGAAUCUUCGGCAAUGGACGAAAGUCUGACCGAGCAACGCCGCGUGAGUGAAGAAGGUUUUCGGAUCGUAAAACUCUGUUGGUAGAGAAGAGCGUUGGUGAGAGUGGAAAGCUCAUCAAGUGACGGUAACUACCCAGAAAGGGACGGCUAACUACGUG